rnacentral:rRNA from 1 species
ACUGCAGUCGAGCGACUGAUUAGAAGCUUGCUUCUAUGACGUUAGCGGCGGACGGGUGAGUAACACGUGGGCAACCUGCCUGUAAGACUGGGAUAACUCCGGGAAACCGGAGCUAAUACCGGAUAACAUUUUUUCUUGCAUAAGAGAAAAUUGAAAGAUGGUUUCGGCUAUCACUUACAGAUGGGCCCGCGGUGCAUUAGCUAGUUGGUGAGGUAACGGCUCACCAAGGCAACGAUGCAUAGCCGACCUGAGAGGGUGAUCGGCCACACUGGGACUGAGACACGGCCCAGACUCCUACGGGAGGCAGCAGGGGGA